GCGCCCGUAGCUCAACGGAUAGAGCGGAUGGCUUCGGACCAUCAGGUUGGGGGUUCGAUUCCCUUCGGGCGUA
rnacentral:tRNA from 1 species